rnacentral:rRNA from 1 species
GAUGAACGCUGGCGGCGUGCCUAAUACAUGCAAGUCGAGCGAACAGACGAGGAUCUUGCUCCUCUGACGUUAGCGGCGGACGGGUGAGUAACACGUAGAUAACCUACCUAUAUGACUUGGAUAACUUCGGGAAACCGUAGCUAAUACCGGAUAAUAUAUUGAACCGCAUGGUUCAAUAGUGAUAUACGGUUUUUGUGUCACUUAUAGGUGUAUCCGCGCGGCAUUAGCUAGUUGGUAAGGUAACGGCUUACCAAGUGAACGAUCGGUAACCGACCGGGGAGGGUGAUAGGCCACCCUGGAGGUGAGACACGGUCCAGACGCCUGCGGGAGGCAGCAGUAGGGAAUCUUACGCAAUGGGCGAAAGCAUGGCGGAGCAAGGGCGAGUGAGUGAUGAAGGUCUCCGGAUCGUAAAACUCUGUUAUUAGGGAAGAACAAAUGUGAAAAUAAAUAUGGACGUCUUGACGGUACCUGAACAGAAAGCCACGGCUAACUACGUG